GUAUAUUUUGGGCAGUUAAAAGUGCUGAUAAACUCAUAAAAGCACAUUGUUUGCCUCUAGAUUGAACACUAAAAAGGUCAUUGCCUUGAUGUAUAUAAGAAGAAAAAAAUAGAGCCGAACUUACCUGAAUGUUUCCGAAUAUUUUUGAUCUCUUGCUGUCUUGCAUCCGUAUUUAAAAGCUUGACCGCUCCCCUCAUUUAACAAACGUUCCUGAAGCUUAAUUAUUCCCCCCGGAUUAUGACAAACAUCUUUACAGACAGACACAAGAUCUCGAUCUCGACAAUACAUAACUCGCGCGAAAGACUGGGUCGAGUGGACUCUGGAGAAACCACCGCGUGUCAAGAAUAGUGUGCUGCCUCGCUACGCUCGGCAGCAAUAAU